AUGAUUUUGAAGAACCUGAAUCUUUUCGGUGGAUUGUGUACUUGGGGAGAGCAGAAGUCAAUUCUUCAUGUGCCGCACAUCCUCCUAAACUGCUGUGCCCAACACAGAGCGAGUGGCCAGGAUGUACUUGCUGACUACAUAGAUAGAGGAAUGAGCAAGGAAAAGGCUAACAUGAAUGGGAUAGAGAGGACCUCACAGAAGCGAGAGGUCAUUCUUAAGUCUGCCAUUCUUGUGGUAAGUGCUGAAAAAAUAAAAGAGAAGAUCACUGAUGUAAAAAUUGAAGAGGGAAAGAAAGCACGGGUUGUUGUUGGGUAUGAAAUGCAUUUCACUGUGGUUUUGCCUCCAUCCUACCUGCAGAUUCCCCGGAGGAAGAGGAGAAGGGGGAAGUGAGAAGUCCCUUGUCUACCUCCAUGGCUCUGAAGUUUGGAAUUAGUGAAGCCUCAGCUCUGCAGUGGAAUGAUCACUGAUUUAUCCCCCUAGGAAAGGUCUUUCCCAGCUGUUCCAUCUAUCAUCUGCCAUUGCAUUUUCUUAAUAGGAAUUUUAAAUGCUGUUUCUCCCACAUCUUUCACUGGACUUCUCUUCUCCUCCUGAGCCACCUUUGAUCCUGUGGUGGACACAGCUCCUGCCUGACAUUGCUCAAUCUACUUUGUGCCCAUUUGGUUUUGUUUAUCUUGUGUUUACCUAAUGCUUCAAGAGCAAGAAGCCAAUAAAACUAUGUCCACUUCAAAGCUUGCUUCUUUCUGCCUUUGGAAUGAGUUUAGAAUUAGGGCUCACUUGUUUUAUUUGAGGAAGUCAGGACUGCUGAGGACUUCUGCUGGGAGGAGUAGUCUUGCUGCUUUGUGUGGCUGCUGUGGACACAUUCAUGUCUCACGGAGAGUGCUGUGCUCGGCCAUUCGUUUUUCUCUUCUGAUGAUCAAUCUAUCUCCCUCUGAUGAAUGGCCAUUAUGAGCAGAGUUAAAGCAGGAAUAAUUUAAGUGAUAAAUUGUUACUGGGGAAGGUGGUCUAUGAUGCUGAAAGCCUUAAAAAAGCAGGAAAUUAUCUACUUGAUUUAUGAAAACGAUGAUUACUGUGAUUUAAUCAUUUUGACAGAACACCUAUCCAUUGUAUUUGAAUGAAACUAAAUGAAUGUCCAAAUUAAUCAGAAAUUUUUUAGUCCUUAAUUUACAAAGCACCUAAUGCCAAUAUCCUCUUCUCACCUCAGGCCUUUUUGAUUUUCAAAGAUUUGUGGAAUUUUUGUGUGAAGAUUUUUGAAGAUCUUGAAGAUACUCUUAGAUGAGGUGGAGGAGGAAAGUCUGAGCAUGCGCCUGUAACACAGUACAGACUGACGCAGGAAGAUUGCAAGCAAACAGUCAUGACUAAUUUCCACUAAGGUCUCCCCUUGAUAAUGAAAAGAUGCUUGCCUGUGUGACUAUUUGCAAAGGCAGCUUACACAUGUGCAACUCUUUGAGAAUAAGGGCAAAAGCAAUGGGUACUAAAUGUGGUUUCCCACACGAGGAGGGACACUAUGGUCCUCUCUCUUUUUCUUCAUUCUCUGUACUUCUUUUUAUCAUCCAACAACAAAGUGAUCCCUGGUGGACCUAUUGAGAAGAAACCCUACUUUAUUAAAAUAUAUUUUGACCAGAGAAUAAAUUUUGAGUAACAGGGAAAUAUCAACAAAUUUAAUAAGUUAAGACUGAUUAAAAAUUAAUUGAAACUGCCAAGGGCUUCCAGGGUUGCCACUGAUGGUGUCUGGGCCUUAGUGAAGAAAGGAUUCAGGAUAGCAUUGACACAUGGCAAGAAGAAGCCCAGGCCUCUUCAGAUCUCUGCAGCUUGUAAGGCAGUGGUGGCGAACCUAUGGCACACAUGCCCCGGUGGGUUCUUUGUGUCACUGAAAGGGCUAAAAGGUUCACCAUCACUACUGUGAAGCAUUGCAGCAUUGUAGCUGUGACUGUUGAGCGUUACUUGGCCACCUCUGCCUUUCUCCUUCAUGCAGUGUAACUGACCCCUCCGCAGUCAGGAGACAAUUCACAUAUUUGGCUAACAGAUGAAAAUGUGGAUUCUUUCUUUUGACUGCUGAUAUUCAUAUUUUUUACUAAUGUAAAUUUUCUAUGGUUUUGUUUUAACCUUUGAUAGAGGCAUUUUUCCAGGAGGAAAAAGUAUACAUUAAGCUUUGUUAUUUGUGAUCUAAUGGAAGACUUGCAACAGUAAUAACUGUGAAAUACUUUGCAGUUUCUUUUGAAAAAAAAUCUUUCAAAAACUUUAAAUUAUAAGGAACAUCAUUGUAUGCCCUUCCCAUAAUAUGUGCUAGGCUUUUCUCUUAGCACCACUUGCUAUGUUAAAAUUGGUGGAUUCUUCAAAUUUGUACUUUGUGUUUUUAUUAAGUAUGCAUUUCUUUAUCAACAACAUAUAAUGUAGUAUUUUAAAUGUUACUGUAUUAACAAUGAAAAGAUAAUCAUGCUUGUGGAGACUAUAAAAAUUAGGUUGUUUACUAGUUUUCCUAACUGUGGUUCCUGGUGAUUGAUAUUAACUAUUUUUCAAGUCUAUAAUCAAUAGACAUCUAUAAUUCUUAAAAAGUACUGUGACAUUGGAUAUUAGCUGUUUGAAAUUUGCCUAGUCCAAAGUGACAUGUUCUCUAAAUAGGAAAUGCACAUUGAUUUUAGAGACUUACUCUAAUUAAAUAAUGCAAAAUACAUCAAAAAUUUUUUCAUUGGUUACAAAUUGAAAUAAUAACUAUUUUGAUAUAUUUGGUUAAGUACAAUACAUUUAUUUAGCUUUAACAAUUUUUUAACAUGUCUUCUGAAACUUUUAAGUGACAGUUGUGCUUCUAUAUUUCUGGUGCAUGCCAUUUUUCUUGACCUUCAUCUCUUCUGCGUCCCUCACCAGCACAAGGUUUGGUGCUUCCCCUACUCGUGAGUGUCUACCACCCAUGAGAUUGGUUGCUACUGUGCUGUGCAUGGGAAUAACUCAUGAUGCUAGUGAUAUUCAAGUAGUUGGAUCAUCUCUCCUCAUCGUCAUAUCAGGAAAUGGACCAUCUAUGAUUGGCAGCCAUGGCCAGGAAGGAUCAUUCUGGUGGAGAAAUUGCCCUGUGCACAUUUAUAUUGGGUUUGUGUUUAGUGAUGUUUUAUACUUAUUAAAAGUGGGCAUGCUCAGAUAAUUCGUGUGGUUUAAUUCUAAUAAUAUUUCAGCUCACAAUUAUUACGAUCUGUAGUUUUAAUUAAGUCUCCUGUGCUUAUGGGGAAGCCACCCAGUCAUGAGAGAUUGCUGAACAGGGACAGAAGAAAGUUCUGCUUCUGUUCACUGGGGAAAUGUGCUUGGCAUAGCUGUAACAUCUAACAACAGCAUAUUGAAAAUUAGUCACAUGUUGCUGCAUGUUAUGUUUAUUAAUUAUGAUCCUUCUGGGUGUUCCCAUAAAGAGACAAUCCUGUGCAUCUAAUUUUUCAGAGUCUGGAUGGCAUCUGGGGGGAAAAAACCAACUUUAUGAACAGCAAUGUUCUUCAAAAUUGAACCCAUUCAUUCUUUAGUCUCAAAAAUUUUUAGUUUCAACUAAGUGAUAUGCUGUUUAAAUAAGACAUUUUCCAAAUUAGCACAGUGUGGCUAAUGCACAUUUUAAGUCCAAACCUCUCAAUUUAUUUAACACUCUCUAAUUCUUAAGAUAUUCUUUUUGGAGUUUUAUGUUCAUUUAGCUAUUUAUGUUCAUUUUGGGAAUUUUGUAUAAUAUUAUGCAUGUUUAUUUCCUGAAAGUAAUACAUUUUGUAAAAUGAAUUACAAAAUUUAAAAUAAAGCUAGCUUAACGAAUGCAAAACUAUAUAUUUCUGUGUGUGAAGAAAAGAUUAACUACAAGAGAUAAACACUACUACCAUGC
rnacentral:lncRNA from 1 species